ensembl:lncRNA
GUGCCUCUUCCUGGCAGUUGCAGUGGCAUCACUUUUCCUGUCUGAACUCGGUGGGGAGAGGCUGGCAGGGUUGACAGAGGCAUCUGUCUGGCAAUUGGUGGCCUGUGAGAGCUCUAAUUGUCUCCCAGUAACCUUAGCUGUGGCCUGGGCAAGACGAGAAGAAGGCUCCAUCUUAGUGACAGCAGCCUGGGUGGGAAGGGGACAUGGAGAUUUCCCUGCAGGGUUCUGGACAGAAGUAAGAGUGAGCUCAGCUGACACUGUGUGAUUGGUAGGCCAGAGCAAGGAGGGAGCGUUAGGCCAAGUGUCUCUUCCCCUUGGUCGUUAGUCAGAGGGCCUCAGGGAGAAUCUCAGCCUUCCUGAUCUGAUAGAAUUCCGAGCCUCUUGCUGUAUAACUGAGUGAUUCUCUCCGCACAUGGUCAACAGCAGAUUUUUCUCAAGGUGAAAGCAAUUAGGCCUUCAUCCCUUCCUCCCCCUACCACUAGAAAGAAAAGGAAGAUGGAAGGGAAGCCGUGCUCGCUUCUGCCAAGGUCAGCCAGGGCACCCUGGCUUGUUCCAGUAAUUGGCUCCCCGACCUGCUCCCGCCUCUCACAGGCUGUCACGGUCUCAGGCAUUUUGGCGUCCCUCAGCGCUGAGGCAGUGAAGAGGGAAGGGGCUGCUGCUUUUACACUUCUCUCCAGAACAAGAGAGUGUGUCUCACCCUACCCUGAACAGGGAAUCAGAGGGAGCACUGUGAGCCGGCCCUGGGCAGCGCGUGUAAGUGGGGCUGAGCUGCCCCUGCCGCUCUCUGAAAGAGUCAAAGCCAGGCAAGAGAAAACUCUUCAGAAGGUGGAAGAAUUCAUUCGUUUGGUUAACAGCUAUGCCAAGCACUUUGCUAGGAGUUCCUGGUCCCUGUUAUCUUGGGGCUGAGGAGAGCAGGAGUCUGCUCAACCUUGAUCCUCUCACCCAGAAAUGUCUCACUCACCAUCGCUGUGCUGCUCACAUCCUUGUGCUGCCUCCAGGGAUCCUGCUCCUAAACUCUGCACCCACAUAUCCAGCUGGCGCUUUGAUAUCUCCAACAGGAUGACUCACAUGCCCCUCGAGAUCCACAUCCCAGACUGAAAUCUUCACCUCCUCUUCAGUCCCAAAUCCAUUUUCUUUCUUUCUGCUCAGGCCUGCUUCAUAAUCUGGCCAUUAUCUUCACUCUCACUGCCCUUGUUAAUGUUCAGGCUGCAGUCUCACAUAUCUCAAGAAAUGUGCACAGUCUGUUUCCUUUCCCAUGCCCCUCCUUGCCCUGAGACCUUCUCAAGUCUCAGCUGACAGGUCACUUCCUC